GACCGCGUAGCUCAGUUGGCAGAGCAUUGGGCUAGUAUCCCAAAGGUCGUAGGUUCGAUUCCCACCGUGCUCA
rnacentral:tRNA from 1 species